CCUACGGGUAGCAGCAGUGGGGAAUAUUGGACAAUGGGCGAAAGCCUGAUCCAGCCAUGCCGCGUGUGUGAAGAAGGCCUUCGGGUUGUAAAGCACUUUCAGUGGGGAAGAAAGCCUUGGGGCUAAUACCCUCGAGGAAGGACAUCACCCACAGAAGAAGCACCGGCUAACUCCGUGCCAGCAGCCGCGGUAAUACGGAGGGUGCGAGCGUUAAUCGGAAUUACUGGGCGUAAAGCGCGCGUAGGCGGUCUGAUAAGCCGGUUGUGAAAGCCCCGGGCUCAACCUGGGAACGGCAUCCGGAACUGUCAGGCUAGAGUGCAGGAGAGGAAGGUAGAAUUCCCGGUGUAGCGGUGAAAUGCGUAGAGAUCGGGAGGAAUACCAGUGGCGAAGGCGGCCUUCUGGACUGACACUGACGCUGAGGUGCGAAAGCGUGGGUAGCAAACAGGAUUAGAUAUCCGAGUAGUC
rnacentral:rRNA from 1 species